rnacentral:rRNA from 1 species
UACGUAGGGUGCAAGCGUUAAUCGGAAUUACUGGGCGUAAAGCGUGCGCAGGCGGUUCUAUAAGAGAGAUGUGAAAUCCCCGGGCUCAACCUGGGAACUGCAUUUGUGACUGUAGAGCUGGAGUACGGCAGAGGGGGAUGGAAUUCCGCGUGUAGCAGUGAAAUGCGUAGAUAUGCGGAGGAACACCGAUGGCGAAGGCAAUCCCCUGGGCCUGUACUGACGCUCAUGCACGAAAGCGUGGGGAGCAAACAGG